rnacentral:rRNA from 1 species
CCCAGACUCCUACGGGAGGCAGCAGUGAGGAAUAUUGGUCAAUGGUCGGGAGACUGAACCAGCCAAGCCGCGUGAGGGAUGAAGGUACAGAGUAUCGUAAACCUCUUUUGUCAGGGAGCAACGCCGGCUACGUGUAGCCGGACUGAGAGUACCUGAAGAAAAAGCAUCGGCUAACUCCGUGCCAGCAGCCGCGGUAAUACGGAGGAUGCGAGCGUUAUCCGGAUUUAUUGGGUUUAAAGGGUGCGUAGGCGGGAUGCCAAGUCAGCGGUCAAAUACGGGGGCUAAACCCGCGUCCGCCGUUGAAACUGGCGUUCUUGAGUGGGCGAGAAGUACGCGGAAUGCGUGGUGUAGCGGUGAAAUGCAUAGAUAUCACGCAGAACCCCGAUUGCGAAGGCAGCGUACCGGCGCCCGACUGACGCUGAAGCACGAAAGCGUGGGUAUCGAACAGGAUUAGAUACCCGUGUAA